GUGCGAGGGGAGGAAUCCCCCUGCAGGAAUCGCCGACUGGACACAUUUUUAAUUUUUUGACAUAAGGACACAGCAGGCUGCCAUAUCCUUAUGCCAAAAGGACAGGGAAAACGAGGAGGGCCUGAGGUAAGGGGGCUGCAUCUCCCCCCUCCCCCGGCCUUAGUUUGCCCACAUCUACUUUAAAACAAUAGGCCUUUUAAAAUCCUUCAGACAGGAUCAGUUGCCCGACAUUUUGGUCCUAGUUAUGGCAAUAUGAUUUCUUUUUCCAGACUGCUCUAUACACUUAGGUUCUUUGGGGGACUUCUACUCCAGUGAUCCAGGACUAGACUGAUGACAGUCACCCAGGAAUCUUUUUCUUCAGAUGCCCCUAGGCUGUGGAAUGACCUGUCAGUGUCCCGGAGCACUGGGAUGGAGAAACAAUUAUCCAGCACAGUUUCCACCUGCUACAUAUCCUGCCUCUCCAGUCAAAGAGGACUGACAGACCUGUCUACUAAUUUACAUAAAUGAAGAAGACUCAUAGCAUAGCAAUUGAAGCCUUUGUGAAAGUCUCGACUAUAUGCCAAUUUGCUAUGAAUAGGUACAUCUUGCCACUAAGAAAUAUAUGAAAGUGAACAUUAAAUGAACAUAUGGUGUAAACAGCCUGAAUCUAUGAAAAAGACCCACUUGAUUCUUCUCAUACAUCUUAAUUUCUCACACAAAUAAACCAGGAUUUUAAGAAAACGUGCAUUCAAAGACUUCUCUCCUCUUAUAGUAAAUGAAUUAAAACAGUGCUGUUUUAGUUUUUCCCUGUAGUGAAUCAUGUGGUGGAGGAAAAUAAAUGUGGUAAGUUUAUAAUUUUAUUUAUUUAUUAUUUAUAUUUAUUAGCAGUAUUUAUAUAACACCCUUCUCAACCCCGAAAGAAAUUCAGUGCGGUUCCCAGUGUUGGAAACAAUUCAAUGCUCUUGAUAAAAAACAGUAUCAAACAUCAAAGUUGACCCUCCCCUAAUAAAAGAUUAAACAGUAUUAAACACAUCACAUAAAAUAACAUCAUAUAUCACACAACGACAUAGACAUUGUGCAUAAACAGUUCUGGGUCAUAGCACUUUCAACUUUAACUUUAAAUAUUCCUAUAUUCUACAUUCCAUAAACAGAUUUUUGAAAUAGGUGUUACUAAAUACAAUGUUAUUUAUGAUACACAUACUUUAUCAAAUUCUAUUUUAUCAAGCAAUAAAAGAUGUAAUCCUGCCACAUGAAAAUGUCUUUUGAAAUGGACUUUCAAUAAGGAAUAAAUGAGGGAUCUUAUUUUUAAAAUGAAGCAUAUGGAAAGGAAUAAAGGUUAAGAAGGAAAUCAUGUCUUAUAUUUGAACAAAAAUAACAAGACUUGAGGGAAAAGGUACUGCCCCAAUCACAAACAAAUAGGACCAAACAUUUAGAGUAUUAUAGAAGCUGCCUUUUUACCAAGACAUCAAUAUUAGUAUGAUGACAUUUUUGCCAUUGGAAUGCUUAAUAUUUGAUAUAGCUAUUUGUAUGAUAUAUUUGCACUUUUAGCACUUUGGCCUAGAUUCUUUGAACCCAAUCCAUG
ensembl:lncRNA